CAAAGUUCUCUGAUCUCACGAUGUACAUCAACAGACAAGCUAGGAUAGCUUCAGACCCACUGUUCGGUGAUGUCAACGAGUACUCCGAAGCUAAAGAAAAAGGCAGGUCAAGCUUUAAAUCUGCCCAGGAAGGCGGACCGAAAAGAACCACUGGCUGUGCUACGAGUGUUAAGCCAGACGAAGGGGAUGCCUCAGAACCAAGAAAGAACAAGCAGACAAGCAACGCGUUUCAAGAGCCAUGCCUGUACUGCAACAACAGACACACCCUGAGCGCAUGUUACAAAAUAAGAAGUCUGCCAAACAAAGAGAGAAUCGAGUUCAUUAAAGGUAAAGGACUUUGUUUCGGGUGUCUGACCCAAGGGCACAUGGCAAAAGACUGUAAAAAGAGAGCCACUUGUGAAAUCUGCAGCAAGAAACACCCAAGCCUGCUUCACAGCAAAAGGGACGAGAACACCGACCAAGAGAACGUCAAGCCUGAGAAAGGUCAAAGCUCUACCAGCGGACACUCAGCUUCACAAGAAGAUGCGCUAGCCAAGAGUGAAGUCACGGCAGUCACCGGGGCCGGAGGCAAUGACUGUAUCCUGUCUAUCGUGCCCGUGCGCAUCAAAUCCAAGAGGAGCAACACGACAAUAGAGACGUAUGCGUUCAUGGACUCAGGAAGUUCCGCUACGUUUUGCUCCGAAAAGUUGAUGAGACAGCUUGGCGUCCAUGGUAAGAAAACUCAAGUGCUACUCCGUACUAUGGGACAGGAGAAGCCUGUGUCCUGCUACGUGCUCUCAGAUCUGGAAGUGUGCGGUCUGACAGAGAACAAGUACAUAAGCCUGCCAGAUGUCUACACUCACACAGACAUACCUGUAACAAAGGACAAUGUUCCUGUUGAAAAGGACUUGGAAAGAUGGCCGUAUCUGCGUAAAGAUGUACGGUUACCACAGAUCGACGCAGAUGUUGAUAUACUAAUUGGAAUGAAUGCUCACUCUGCGAUGGAGCCGUGGAAGAUAAUCCACAGCCAAGAUGACGGGCCUUACGCAGUAAAGACGACUCUCGGGUGGGUCGUUAAUGGCCCUCUCAAGAAACGUGACGAUCACCAAG
rnacentral:lncRNA from 1 species